rnacentral:lncRNA from 1 species
UAGUUACUUCUAUAGAUCUAUUAAAGUCUAGGAUCCAAGUAUUUAAAGGUCCAAGGUUUCAAGAGCUGAAUCUCAUUUGUAUCUUUAAACUUCUUUUUCUACACGAUCUUUGAAAGAAAGAAAGAAAGAAAGAAAGAAAGAAAGGAAGAAAGAAAGGAAGAAAGGAAGGAAGAAAGAAAGAAAGAUGCUAUUUUUUUGACUCUUUCUCUAAGAUAUACCCAGCAAUGGGAAUAGAGAACUUGGGCUGAGCAUCUCUCUGUAGUUGUGAAGAGGAGCAAGAAUGGACAGUCUUGGCUAUGCAUGAUGCAAAUGUGUCUCUGCAUUUUAUACAACAGAUUUCACACAACAAUGGCAAGAACAAUGGAUACAUCAGUUACCUGGGAUUUUGAGAGGAUGAAGUCAGAAGAUUGUGGCAGAGGUGACAGAAAGUAUACUUUAAUCCAAAAGAUGAUGGAUACAACUGAAACUCUUACACAUGGGAAUAAGACAGACAGGUCAAACUCCUUUCAGAGAUUAAAGAUCUCUCGAGAGAGGUUCUUCAGUGCCUUAGGAACUGAUGCACUCAACACAACGUUAUCCACAAACAGGAGAAUCUGGAGGAUUGCACCACCCACAGAGACGCCUUCAACAUGGAUCCUGUGCCAGAUCUUUUCCAUCAUCAUGGCGAAUACUUUCUGUCAAGCAAACAUCUCCCUGUUUUGUCCCUUUCCUGAUGCUUAUUAUCAGAAGGUAAUUCCUAAAAAAUAUUGACACAUGAACUGAUGUGAAAUGAAGUAAACAGAAUCAGGAAAACAAAAUGCACAAUGACUUCAACUAUUUAAGUGGAAAGAGCUACAGCGAAAAUGAAUAUAAUGAAUUUCUGAUGGCCAAACUUGGCCCCAAAGAAAAGGUGUGAUAAAGCACCUCUCUCUUCUUCAGAGAUAUGGAGCAUUAUAGACAUUUUCUGAUAUUUCAGUUUUGCUGAAUUAUUUUUUCUUUUUAAAAUUUAUUAUGAAGAAUAGCUCAUUGCAAAGAGG